GACUCUUAGCAGUGGAUCACUCAGCUCGUGCCUCAAAGAGUGCAGCUAGCUGUGAGAAUUUGAAUUGCAGGACACAUUGAUCACUGACACUUCGAACGCACUUGUGGCCCUGGGUUCCUCACAGGGCUAUGCCUGUCUGAGUGUCG
ensembl:rRNA 5_8S_rRNA 5.8S ribosomal RNA